rnacentral:ribozyme from 1 species
CUUUUUUUUCUCUCUCUCUCUCUCUGUUGUAAAUUGCUUCAUUGUAUAUAAAGAAGAAGGACGAGAAGACAAACGAAGCGAAGAAGAAGAAGAAGAAAUCAGAGAAGAAGAAGCACUUUUCGUUCUUUUAUUCUUUUAUAGAGUCUU